CAAGAGCUUCGUCUUCUCCAAUUCGUUUUUGUAUGUUUCCAUUGCUACGCAAUAACAUAGCAGAGGAAAAAACCGGAAACUAACCAUCAUGGUGCACGUCUCUUUUUACCGCAACUAUGGGAAAACCUUCAAGAAACCAAGACGUCCCUAUGAGAAGGAGCGUUUGGAUGCUGAGUUGAAGCUUGUUGGAGAGUAUGGGCUCCGUUGUAAGAGAGAGCUUUGGAGAGUUCAGUAUGCAUUGAGCCGUAUACGUAAUGCAGCAAGAAUGCUUCUCACCCUUGAUGAGAAAAACCCACGUCGUAUUUUUGAGGGUGAAGCGCUUCUGAGGAGGAUGAAUAGGUAUGGACUUUUGGAUGAGAGCCAGAACAAGCUUGAUUAUGUGUUGGCCCUGACUGUGGAGAACUUUCUUGAGCGCCGUCUCCAAACUCUCGUGUUCAAGUCGGGUAUGGCUAAGUCAAUCCAUCAUGCCAGAGUGCUCAUCAGGCAAAGGCACAUUAGGUAUAGUAUUUUCUUAACUUAUGUUGCAUAUGUUUCAUGAUUUUUAUCAUUAAUAUAUUUAUAUUUCUGCUAGUGCACUAUACAUUAUUCAUUUUGUUCGCUAAUUUGGUUUUAAAAACAAAAAAUGAUUUUGCAGUACUUAUAAGGUUUAUUUUGAUAUUGUUUUUCACACAUUGGUUAUAAAAUUUUGAGAACACUUCUGAGGAGGCUGAAUGAGAGCCAUACUCUGGGACGUGGUGAGGUGAUUUAUGAACUUGUUAAUGGUAAGGAAAUAGUUUUUAUCUAGAAGUGUGAGUUUAAAUAGCUUGUUAAGUGCGACAUUCAAGUAAUGUUUCUUGAAUUUUGGUAUAUAUGGUGUCAAAUUUGUAUGUCGCAUUUAAUUUGGGCGGAUAUAACAAACUUAUUGUGAAUUAUUUGUGUGUUAUAUUCUUCUUGGUAACUACUUGAUCUUAGUUUUUAGUUCUUAAGGAGUUUCUCUUGACACAUUCGAGUGCAAUUAUUGUCUUUGAGCUAGUAGUGUGGGUUGCUAGAUGCAUGGUGAUGUAGUGUUAUCAUUUUAUAAUGUGUUUGGUGUUAAGAUUGAAACUAUCUUAUUAGAAAAUGUGUAUUUACUUGCUAUGAAAAAAAAUCAGUUUGAAAUUGUCAAUUUCUCUUUUGCAAUUUUUAUGGUCAUAAAAUGUCAAAAAAUGCCAAACAGAACUUUAGUGUCUCUGUCCUUGAUAAUCAUAUCCACUUUUAUUUCUUUAAUCAUUCAUUCAUUCAUUUAUAUUGGUGCUGUCUCACAAAUGAGUUCACUAAGCUUGUAUUCUAAUGGUUAGUUGUUCGAAACAUGGUUCUGGUGGUAUAUGUGAUGUAUCUGAUCAUUUGUUGAGCUUGAAUAGACAUUAUCUUUGUUUUGGGGCUCUUUGUUCUUUGUCUUCAGGAAUGUUUAUAUCAGUUAUGUUCAAGAUCUUGAUUGUUGAAGUCGUGUCAUGGCGAAGCUUGUGGCCAUGGGUUUGCUUCACAUUAUUUUUUGUUUGUUAAAUAAUUUUCUUUGGCUCAACUGAUGAUUGAUCUUUCUGUAACUUUUUUUCUUGACAAUAUUUUUAUAUGCCCAAGGUUCUGCAUCGCAUUGCCUUGUACUCACCAAUCUCAAUUACUGUUGCGUCUUUACAUUUUGAUCGUAUGGUCUGUGCUCUUGAGAACCUUUUCCUCAACUUCUUGUAGUUGUUGGGUUGUUUUGGAUUUUCGAGCGUAUUUGAUCCAACUUGCUUUUGCUUUAAAGCACUUUGCUUGUUAACCCUGGCUUUAAUUAUCACAUUUUUUCAAGAAGUAAUUAAACAUUUGGCUUUUGAGAAUUACUAGUUCCAUCUGCUAUAUAGCUGUUUCCAUACACGGAGUCCAUGCUCAUCACUCUCCACUAUAAUGCGCACCUCAUGUGGAAGCCACACUUCUUUGCAUGAAAACUAAUCAUUCUUGUGACUUGGUGAUCCUUUAUAAGAUUCUGCCCUUGGAUUGGUUAUGGGUGUUGCCCCUUAAUAUUUAUUUUGGUAUGUUAGGGUUGGGAGACAGGUGGUUAAUAUUCCCUCAUUUAUGGUGAGGGUGGACUCGCAAAAGCAUAUUGAUUUCUCACUUACAAGUCCCUUUGGUGGUGGGCGGCCUGGUAGAGUGAAGAGAAAGAAUCAAAGGGCUGCUAACAAGAAGAGUUCUGGUGGCGAUGGGGAUGAAGAAGAUGAAGAGUGAGCUUUUCCCGUUCUGAAAUAGUGAUUAAUGUUUCUUUUUGGAAGUAUGCCUAGGAGUUUUUCUUAUUGAUCUUUCAUUUCAUUUUGUCAACCUAUGAUGAUUUUUUUGAGAAUCUUUAGCAAGCAAUUUCAAUUCCUUUUCUGUUCUUUCUUCUUACCAUGGAAGAGUUGCUUUGUUAAUGUUGAUGGAAUACAUAUUUACUUGUUCAACUAUGUCAAGAUGGCUUGGCUAGAAUUGGUCUUUUCUUCUGUUUAUAUUUUUGUUGGUGAAUCGUAUAAAUUGGCCCAUUUACAUGUAGAAUGAGUGCCCAGCUUGG
rnacentral:misc_RNA from 1 species